GAGUUUGAUCAUGGCUCAGAACGAACGCUGGCGGCAUGCCUAACACAUGCAAGUCGAACGGGAUCCUGGCUUCGGCCAGGUGAGAGUGGCGGACGGGUGAGUAACGCGUGGGAACCUGCCCAAUGGUCUGGGAUAACCGCGGGAAACUGCGGCUAAUACCGGAUAAGCCCGAGAGGGGAAAGAUUUAUCGCCGAUGGAGGGGCCCGCGUCCGAUUAGGUAGUUGGUGAGGUAACGGCUCACCAAGCCGACGAUCGGUAGCUGGUCUGAGAGGAUGAUCAGCCACACUGGGACUGAGAUACGGCCCAGACUCCUACGGGAGGCAGCAGUGGGGAAUAUUGGACAAUGGGGGCAACCCUGAUCCAGCAAUGCCGCGUGAGUGAUGAAGGCCUUAGGGUUGUAAAGCUCUUUUGGCGGGGACGAUGAUGACGGUACCGCAGAAUAAGCCCCGGCUAACUUCGUGCCAGCCGCCGCGGUAAG
rnacentral:rRNA from 1 species